GACAGAGGGUGCAAACGUUGUUCGGAAUUACUGGGCGUAAAGGGCGCGUAGGCGGCCUUCUAAGUCGAACGUGAAAUCCCUGGGCUCAACCCAGGAACUGCGUCCGAUACUGGAAGGCUUGAAUCCGGGAGAGGGAUGCGGAAUUCCAGGUGUAGCGGUGAAAUGCGUAGAUAUCUGGAGGAACACCGGUGGCGAAGGCGGCAUCCUGGACCGGUAUUGACGCUGAGGCGCGAAAGCGUGGGGAGCAAACAGG
rnacentral:rRNA from 1 species